CCCAGCGCCGGCUGAGUCCCCCGGCCGCCUGGGGAGGUGGCAGCUUGCGGGCGCCGGGUGCCGCGGAAGGCGGGAGGCCCCGGAACGCAGCCGCUGCCGCUGCCCGCUGGGCGACGCUGCUCGGAGUGAGCUUUCGCCCGCGGCACGAGGCGGGGACGCCUUUCUGUCGGGCUGGAGUUGACGAAGAUUAGAAGCUUCCACGCUGCUGCUCUUCCUCAGAAGCCUCGGGUCACUCCAGUAACGCGCGUCGGCUGUGGGAGCAAGAAGGGAGAGGAGCAACCCGGAGCCCAGAGAAAAGCGGCUGCCACCGAGUCUGGCUCAGUGGGUUGUCGGAAGGCGAAUUGUUGCUUAUGUUAGACCUCAUCAUUGAAAACACAAAAUAGAGUAUAAAAGUUUUUGCAGUUAACAGACAAGCAGGUAGCUUGGGCUGGUGGUGCUUCCUGUGUUCAACCUGUCCAGGAGCCCCCUGUUUACCUGUUCUGCUGAACCAAAACACCUGACAGGCCACCGGGCCCCCUCUCAGGUUGCCCAUGCUAUCUCGGGUCUUAUCUCAUUCGCUAAACAUUCCGUGAACACCCACUACCCUGCCUGUCCCUUCUCUCAGGCGACCAAUGUUAUCCCCCUCUUAAAGGAGAAGCCAGAAGAUGUGGGCUUCAGCCUUGGAGCCCUGGAAAACUGCCUUCAUCUCUCUGGACCUCGACGUGGUCAACAGUAAAGUGGAGACCACGAUCUCUGCUGUGCCUUCACCUAGCACUGCUGUGAAGUACAGCAAGUAAAAUCAUGUCUAUAAACACA